CUCAACUGUUUGUCUCCAGCCUUGACCUCUUCCCUGAACUCCAGAUUUGAAUAUCCACAGUGCCUAGCUGACAUAUCCUCUGAGGUUUUGCACAAACAUCUCAAAUUGAACACGCUCGUAAAAAGGCCCUUGAUUUUUGCUUCCAGACCUGAUCCUUUCCACUGCAGGCCCCCCAAACUUUCUCAAUACACUGGCACUAUGAUUGACUCAGGGGUCCAAGAAGGAAAUCUAGGUGUCAUUUUGAUUUACCCUCUCCUCAUUCCAUAAUUUCAUUAGCACAUCCUGUCAAUGUGAUGUCCAAAAUACACAUUGAUUCUGCCCCUUUUCUCCAUCGCUGCUAUGACUUUAGUACAGACUGUCAUUCCUACCUGCAGUCCUGCAAAAGACUGACUACCUGGUUUAACUUCUACUAUUGCUUCUCCUCUAAUCCUUUUUCCAUACAGCUGGAAGAGUGACCUUAAGGUCAUGAAGCAGAACAUGUCCUCCUGCUCUAAAUACUGCCCAGUGUACCUAGAAUAAAAUCCAAACCUUAAAUAGCUUACCAAGCCUUAAGUGACUGGAACGCUGCCACCCUAACCUUACCUUGUGCCACUCUCACUGUUCUCUAGGACUUUUUCCUCCCAUGAAGAAAUCUUUUAUGGUGCAUCUCCUAUGUGCCAGACACCGUCUGAGGUACCAAAAAUAGAGUUCUUCCCCUCAGACUCAUAGAGUUCAAGGCAUACUGAAGAUAUACUUCCGGGGGCUUGUAAUGUGUGUUGUCUUCGAGCCGGCAAAGGAGUCCCUGAUGGGAACAGUACUGUGAAGCUUUUGGCUCCUGAUUCAUCGACUCCCUAAUAAGCAGAAAAAUAAUAUACGUAUCCUUUGAUAUUUACCAUUACAAUUAUAAAGCCAUUCCUAUUAUAAAUGUAAUACUUAUUCCUGACUGACAACAUAGGCAAAGAACACAGAAAUGAUCCUGAAUCCCAACCUACUUCACUUAACAAUAAAUUGAAACAUGUAUCCCUCUA